rnacentral:rRNA from 1 species
GACGACGCUGGCGGCGUGCCUAACACAUGCAAGUCGAGCGGGGAGAGCCUUCGGGCUUUCCAGCGGCGGACGGGUGAGUAACGCGUGAGCAACCUUCCUACACAGGGGGAUAACGCAGUCGAAAGCUGUGCUAAUACCGCAUAAGACCACAAUGUCACAUGGCAAAGGGGUCAAAGGAGAAAUCCGGUGAAGGGUGGGCUCGCGUCUGAUUAGCUAGUUGGCGGGUAACGGCCCACCAAGGUAACGAUCAGUAGCCGACCUGAGAGGGUGAUCGGCCACACUGGGACUGAGACACGGCCCAGACUCCUACGGGAGGCAGCAGUGGGGAAUAUUGGGCAAUGGGCGAAAGCCUGACCCAGCAACGCCGCGUGAGGGAAGAAGGUUUUCGGAUCGUAAACCUCUGUCCUUGGGGACGAAUAAAUGACGGUACCCAAGGAGGAAGCCCCGGCUAACUACGUG